rnacentral:rRNA from 1 species
UUCUAUAGCCAUGCUACCAUGAACAAGCCCGAUUCUGUCUGAUCAGGGAAGCUAAGCAGGGUUAGUACUUGGAUGGAAGACCACCUAGGAAGACCAGGUGCUAUAGGCG